rnacentral:rRNA from 1 species
UACAGAGACCUCAAGCGUUAUCCGGAAUCAUUGGGCGUAAAGCGUACCGAUAGGUGGUUUACUAAGUUUUGGGUAAAAGCCAGAAGCUCAACUUCUGCGUUUGCUCAAGAUACUGGUAGACUAGAGGGAGAAAGAGGUUGCUGGAACGAACGGUGUAGUAGUGAAAUGCGUUGAUAUCGUUCGGAACACCGAAAGGCGAAGGCAGGCAACUGGGUCUCACCUGACACUGCUAGGACGAAAGCGUGGGGAGCGAAUGGGG